CAGAUUGAACGCUGGCGGCAGGCCUAACACAUGCAAGUCGAGCGGAUGAGAGGAGCUUGCUCCUUGAUUUAGCGGCGGACGGGUGAGUAAUGCCUAGGAAUCUGCCUGGUAGUGGGGGAUAACGUCCGGAAACGGGCGCUAAUACCGCAUACGUCCUACGGGAGAAAGCAGGGGACCUUCGGGCCUUGCGCUAUCAGAUGAGCCUAGGUCGGAUUAGCUAGUUGGUGAGGUAAUGGCUCACCAAGGCGACGAUCCGUAACUGGUCUGAGAGGAUGAUCAGUCACACUGGAACUGAGACACGGUCCAGACUCCUACGGGAGGCAGCAGUGGGGAAUAUUGGACAAUGGGCGAAAGCCUGAUCCAGCCAUGCCGCGUGUGUGAAGAAGGUCUUCGGAUUGUAAAGCACUUUAAGUUGGGAGGAAGGGCAUUAACCUAAUACGUUAGUGUUUUGACGUUACCGACAGAAUAAGCACCGGCUAACUUCGUGCCAGCAGCCGCGGUAAAG
rnacentral:rRNA from 1 species